AAAACAUCCCCUUUCCAAAAUCUAGUUGGGUUCCCCGGAACAUCGCACCACCGGGCAACAUACAUCGCGACCAAGCAAACCCCAUUCCGCGGGCCGGAUUCCCCACCACCCACCCCAAACCCUAGGUUUCCCAUGGUGCAAGCCGCACCCAGCUCCGCCACCGCCACCGCCACCGCCGCCCCCGUCCCCGACGCCGACCCCGCCACCCCGCCGUCCCGUCUCCUCUCGAAACAUCGCCCGCGCCGCCGUGCAGCACCCCCCCGCCCGACCUCGCCGCACCCCGCGCCCACGCGCGGCCUGCCCGAUCUGAACCGCUGCCACUGCUGCUCCGUUCGCUUCCAGCAGCCGGCGCCGGGCGCCAAGCGACGUCCACUCCGUCCCCUCCGCUCCCUCUGGCGCGUCGUCCUCCUCUGCUCUGAAUGUAUCUCCCUCCUUCGCUCUGGCGCUGUCUGCUCCUACUGCCUCAACCUCGACAACCUGCCGCACGAUGACUCGGUCACCUGCCGCAGCUGCAACUGCUGCGUCCACCACCACUGCAUCCCCGCUGAGCACCGUACUGCCCUGAUCCGGCCUGUAGAUUUGGAGAAUUUCGUCUGCGUCGAUUGCUGCCCCACAGUGAAGGUGGGUAGCAAGAAUGAGGGCGCCGAAUCCGUUCCUAAGCUGGAGUUGGUCAUCAGAGAGCCUAGUCCUGCAGUGCGGAGGAAGGGGGGGCCUGUCGCUGCUGCUAAGUUGAAUUCGCCGAGGAAGGUUGUGGAGGAGGUGAGGCCAGCUUGGAAGGAUGCGAUGGCCCUCGUUCCUGUAGGCGAGGGGUCAGAGAGCAAGGGUCCCGGUGAUCUGGACCUGCCAGAUGAGGCAUUGGCGCUGCAGCUUCAUUUGGCGAUCAACGGAUCACCGAGGAUUUCACGUUCUGGCAGUGCACCUGUGGCUGUCUUGGCAGGGCAGGGCAAUAGACAGGGCAAGAGGCAGAACGGAUUGGUUUAUGGGAGGAAGGUUGAUGAGGAUCUGGGACUUUGUGUAACCAAUAUGAUGGAUCAUCUGGACUAUCUCGAGACCGGAGCAGAGAUGGGAAGCAACUGGAAUGCUAGUCAGGCUUUAGGAUCUGAGGCUUUAGGAUCUGAUCCCACAGUCCCUGUGGUUCUUGCACUGGAGUGUAAAGGUAAACGCCCUCAGGAGAGUCCCAGAGGUAAAAGGAAAGGUCUUCCUGAGACUAAACAACAUAAUAGUUUGGUGGAUUGGCAUAAGGUGGAUCGGUAUGAGAAGAAAUAUAGCAAGAGGAAGUCAAGUAAGCAGACAGAUGUUGAAAGCAAUGGAAACAAGACCUUGCCCAAUGGAAAGGACAUGCAUGUUGGUGAAGGUGGUGAGGGCAUAACUCCUAUGACAUAGACUGCGGCUUCUUUUUGGAGGUAAUUCUUGAGAACAGUAGUUUGCAUCCAGCAAUACAGGAUUGAAGCUAGCAACUUGUUGGUGGCUUUGAUAGGAACUACAAUCAAAGUUAUAGCUCGUCGCCAUGUCUUCUUCCUGCAACUCAGCUUGUCACCGCCAUUUCCAAUCUUAGAUUGGCAAAUAGUUGGGGUCAAGGAAAUGCGCCACCACAGCCAGGCGUUUCACAAAUCGAAAGGCAGCACAUGGUGAGAAGAUGACUUGGUAUCAUCAAAGGUGUGAGGACGUUGACGGGGUUUGGACUUGCAGAGGAUGGCAUUACAGUGGAGGCAGCCUAUAUGCACGCUUUGCAGGCAGCACAUGGUGAGAAGAUGACCUGGUAUCAUCAAAGGUGUGAGGACGUUGACGGGGUUUGGACUUGCAGAGGAUGGCAUUACAGUGGAUGCAGAUAAGAUGAUAAAAGGGCAAGCACAAAGCAGUCAGUGCCAUCAGGAAUUGCCAGCCCUUGCCUCAUUUGCUGUGACUGCAGUCUGUAGGAAUUUCCUACUCAUCUGGAUAAGAGGGCCAUCAAAAUCACGAUAUACAUAUCCGUGUCUGGUGAAUUUGAAAUUGUGAGUCUUACCAGCAGCACCGCCUGGACCUUUUAUAUCCGUCCAGGUUCAGAACUGGACAUGAGGUUCAUCCAAACGUUUGGGAACCGCUGAAGGUUAAUCAAAAUGGUUUCUGCAAAAAAGUUAACUGGUGGCGAGAAUAAUAAAAAUGCUGAAAUGCAAAGUCUCGUUUGGCACAUAAGUCGGCUAUCCAAAUAACAGAGGCAAUAUUACUGCAUGAUGAUUUGAUUUGAUUCCCAAUCUUCAGACAUGGAGUAAUCUCGUUUUGUGGUUCUGAUACCGGACGAGGAUCUCAGUUUGGACUAAUGUGAGCAGUUUGGACGAGGAUCUCAGUUUGGGCUAAUGUGUUUGGGCUAAUCUCGCUUCUUUCCGCAUUGAUGGAUUUUCAGUUCUCCACUAAUGUGAGCAAAUCAGAAUAGGCUAGUUCACUUCAGAAUGCUGGGAAAUAUUAGCAACCCUGCUAUUACCAUCUACAGUAUUAGGCUAAUUAUGGGUCACUUGCUGUAAGCAUGUGUAAUUGGUGCCUGAACCCUUCUCCUUUGAAGUGCUUCUAGCUUGUUCCUUUAAUUCUUCAUUCUUUUUG
rnacentral:rRNA from 1 species